ACGUUUUACUUUUAAUCGCCGUGCAAAUAUUUGGUCGUGAGACUACAAUUCACGUGCCUUGCGCGAGCUGGUAUAUAUCUGUGGUAUAUAAAAGGUAAAGUUAAAUAUUGUCUUUAUAUUUACCAGGAGAUCAUACGAACAGUCUAAAGAGCAGAUUUUAACAAUGGCAUUAUUUUGGGCCAUUUCUAUUGGAUUAUGGAUAGCGGUUUUAACUGCCCCAAGCCCUUUCAUGAGAAAUAAACGACAAGGCAAUAGGGGCUGGAAUACUGGUAGAACGUUCCAAGGAGCCACUUGGAAUUCGGGUCCAAGUCAAGGCCAAGAUUACCCGGCUUAUUCGGAACUAGACCAGCAAGGUUGGAAUCAGCAACAAAGUCAGGGUCAGGGUCAAGGUAACUGGAAUCAGGGUCAAGAUUCCUGGGGCAGACAACAAGGAGGCCAGGGAGGCCAAGGGGGCCAGGGAGGUCGUGCAGGCCAGGGAGGUCAGGGUCAAGCUGACCCGAUGUGUAGCAAUCCUACCGGGACUAAUGGUAUCAACUGUACAAGUUUUGCUCUUUGUCAAGAUGGCGUUGUAAUGGGAAUACAGACGUGUGGUAGUGAACGAGGUCAGAUGAAAUUCAACCCUGAUACAGGAGAAUGUGAUUGGGCUGCAAAUGUUGCCUGUGACGCUCCACAGCUACACGGAGACGAAAGAUGUUCAAAUAUUCCUCCAGGAUUCGAACAAUUAUCUUAUUUCGUUCCGGAUCCAACUUAUUGUAAUAUGUUUUUUGUUUGCGCACAUGGUAAUUAUGUAGGCACUAGAAAUUGUGCAUGGGGAGAAAUAUUUGAUGAAUUCGCCUUAAACUGCACUAGAGGUGGAGCUGAGAGUUGCACUAAAGAGAUACUUCCUUUUGAAAACUUACAUUAAAUCAACAUAAUUCGUCAUCAUGUUCCGUAAAUAUCAUUUUAAAUUUUUAAAACAUAACAGAACCAGCCAGGAUGUACGAAAAUGGGUUCUCGAUUGGUUUAACUGACAACAAAAGAUUUUCCUAAAAUCAUAUGGCAUUUUUGGACUAGAGUCUUUAUUGAUCUCUUUUCUUGUUAUUACAUAGAGUAGUCGCCCUUUUAAUUUUGAUUUUAUAGUUUAUAUACACACUACUCGAAUAAGAAAUACAUUCAUUAAAGUGCUAUUUUGAAUCUUGUGCACCGCAAAUGUUAAUGUAUACGAAACUGUGCGAAGUAAAAUAAAAAUAAAAAUCACGAUAAGUGAGUUACCUCCCCUUGAUCGCCAGGAACACAAAGACCCACUCUUGGAAUCAAGGGUUCUUUUCUAAUUUAAAUAUUUACUUUUGAUUUGAAAAGAUAAUUCAGAUCACGCCCCACCUCAUCAUUUGUAUAUAUGUAUGCAAUGUCAGUUGUAUUUAUUGUGCAUCUAUUUAUAUUUCUCUUCUAUGUAUGGUGAUAUCGCUUGUAUUAUAUUUGUAUAUUCAUAGCUUUUAGAAUAAAGAUAUCAUUGAAUAAA